GACGAACGCUGGCGGCGUGCCUAAUACAUGCAAGUCGAGCGGACUUUCAAGAAGCUUGCUUUUUGAAAGUUAGCGGCGGACGGGUGAGUAACACGUGGGCAACCUGCCUGCAAGACGGGGAUAACUCCGGGAAACCGGGGCUAAUACCGGAUAAUAUCUUCCUUCGCAUGAAGGAAGGUUGAAAGGCGGCGCAAGCUGCCGCUUGCAGAUGGGCCCGCGGCGCAUUAGCUAGUUGGUGAGGUAACGGCUCACCAAGGCGACGAUGCGUAGCCGACCUGAGAGGGUGAUCGGCCACACUGGGACUGAGACACGGCCCAGACUCCUACGGGAGGCAGCAGUAGGGAAUCUUCCGCAAGGGACGAAAGUCUGACGGAGCAACGCCGCGUGAGCGAAGAAGGUCUUCGGAUCGUAAAGCUCGGUUGUCAGGGAAGAACAAGUACCGUUCGAACAGGGCGGUACCUUGACGGUACCUGACCAGAAAGCCACGGCUAACUACGUG
rnacentral:rRNA from 1 species